rnacentral:lncRNA from 1 species
GACAAAACCAUUCAUUUGUGCAGUGACCUUAGAGAAAACUAGUGUGGUGCAGUGGUGGUGGCAGAGUCGAGGCUGCAGGGAAUUAAUGAAGCAGGGACUGGUAAAGUAGCAGAAGAGGAGUGUUGGGUGGAGGCCUCUGAGAACUCCCACAUCCGUCAGGGACUGGGCCGGGCCAGGAGUCAACAGCUUCUGCAAAAGAACGAGCUUCCACCAGGGCCUGUUUAGCUCUGCCUACACAGCCCUCUGUUGACUUUCAUUCUGGAGUGUGAGCUAACACCACAGUUUGCGUUUAGGCUGUUUGGGGGCUCUCCUGGACAAGACAAAUGAGACUUUUAGAAGAAAACAUGAGUAAUCUACCAACGUGGGGAAAUCUGAGGAACUAAAAUCAGUCUGACGGUGGCUGCACAAGAUGGGAAGGAAUAAUCAUUGAAAUUAGACCCAAGGAAGAAUGCAUGAAGUAUGCCUGCUCUCAGCCGCCAGUGUCAGAACAGCUCAGAUCCAAGGAGCAUACGUUUGACCUCAGAUGAAUUCUGGAGUGUUUUCCUGUAGAAGAGCUUGCUCCAGGUCACUCCUGUCUAGAGCCCAGAUUCUGAGGAAGAGUCACAGGGAGAAUCCGGCAGAGGAUCCCCUCCCCCAACCCCAGCCUGUGCUUAAUUAAGUGAGUGGCUUAAGGGACUUGCCUCCUCUUCAAGAUUAAGAGAAUUCCCUCAGUUUCACAUCCCUUGGAAAUCUCACGUUCACGAAAGGUUCUCAUCAUAUGCCAGGUGCUCCAUGAAAC